CCAUCCUCCAAGGCUAAAUACUCCUGACUGACCGAUAGUGAACCAGUACCGUGAGGGAAAGGCGAAAAGAACCCCGGCGAGGGGAGUGAAAAAGAACCUGAAACCGUGUACGUACAAGCAGUGGGAGCACCUUCGGGUGUGACUGCGUACCUUUUGUAUAAUGGGUCAGCGACUUAUAUUCUGUAGCAAGGUUAACCGUAUAGGGGAGCCGCAGGGAAACCGAGUCUUAACUGGGCGUUAAGUUGCAGGGUAUAGACCCGAAACCCGGUGAUCUAGCCAUGGGCAGGUUGAAGGUUGGGUAACACUAACUGGAGGACCGAACCGACUAAUGUUGAAAAAUUAGCGGAUGACUUGUGGCUGGGGGUGAAAGGCCAAUCAAACCGGGAGAUAGCUGGUUCUCCCCGAAAGCUAUUUAGGUAGCGCCUCGUGAACUCAUCUUCGGGGGUAGAGCACUGUUUCGGCUAGGGGGUCAUCCCGACUUACCAACCCGAUGCAAACUACGAAUACCGAAGAAUGUUAUCACGGGAGACACACGGCGGGUGCUAACGUCCGUCGUGAAGAGGGAAACAACCCAGACCGCCAGCUAAGGUCCCAAAGUCAUGGUUAAGUGGGAAACGAUGUGGGAAGGCACAGACAGCCAGGAUGUUGGCUUAGAAGCAGCCAUCAUUUAAAGAAAGCGUAAUAGCUCACUGGUCGAGUCGGCCUGCGCGGAAGAUGUAACGGGGCUAAACCAUGCACCGAAGCUGCGGCAGCGACACUAUGUGUUGUUGGGUAGGGGAGCGUUCUGUAAGCCUGCGAAGGUGUGCUGUGAGGCAUGCUGGAGGUAUCAGAAGUGCGAAUGCUGACAUAAGUAACGAUAAAGCGGGUGAAAAGCCCGCUCGCCGGAAGACCAAGGGUUCCUGUCCAACGUUAAUCGGGGCAGGGUGAGUCGACCCCUAAGGCGAGGCCGAAAGGCGUAGUCGAUGGGAAACAGGUUAAUAUUCCUGUACUUGGUGUUACUGCGAAGGGGGGACGGAGAAGGCUAUGUUAGCCGGGCGACGGUUGUCCCGGUUUAAGCAUGUAGGCUGAUUGUCCAGGCAAAUCCGGAUAAUCAAGGCUGAGGUGUGAUGACGAGGCACUACGGUGCUGAAGUAACAAAUGCCCUGCUUCCAGGAAAAGCCUCUAAGCAUCAGGUAACAUUAAAUCGUACCCCAAACCGACACAGGUGGUCAGGUAGAGAAUACCAAGGCGCUUGAGAGAACUCGGGUGAAGGAACUAGGCAAAAUGGUGCCGUAACUUCGGGAGAAGGCACGCUGGUGUGUAGGUGAAGUCCCUGCGGAUGGAGCUGAGACCAGUCGAAGAUACCAGCUGGCUGCAACUGUUUAUUAAAAACACAGCACUGUGCAAACACGAAAGUGGACGUAUACGGUGUGACGCCUGCCCGGUGCCGGAAGGUUAAUUGAUGGGGUUAUCCGUAAGGAGAAGCUCUUGAUCGAAGCCCCGGUAAACGGCGGCCGUAACUAUAACGGUCCUAAGGUAGCGAAAUUCCUUGUCGGGUAAGUUCCGACCUGCACGAAUGGCGUAAUGAUGGCCAGGCUGUCUCCACCCGAGACUCAGUGAAAUUGAACUCGCUGUGAAGAUGCAGUGUACCCGCGGCAAGACGGAAAGACCCCGUGAACCUUUACUAUAGCUUGACACUGAACAUUGAGCCUUGAUGUGUAGGAUAGGUGGGAGGCUUUGAAGCGUGGACGCCAGUCUGCGUGGAGCCAACCUUGAAAUACCACCCUUUAAUGUUUGAUGUUCUAACGUUGGCCCCUGACCGGGGUUGCGGACAGUGUCUGGUGGGUAGUUUGACUGGGGCGGUCUCCUCCCAAAGCGUAACGGAGGAGCACGAAGGUUAGCUAAUCCUGGUCGGACAUCAGGAGGUUAGUGCAAUGGCAUAAGCUAGCUUGACUGCGAGCGUGACGGCGCGAGCAGGUGCGAAAGCAGGUCAUAGUGAUCCGGUGGUUCUGAAUGGAAGGGCCAUCGCUCAACGGAUAAAAGGUACUCCGGGGAUAACAGGCUGAUACCGCCCAAGAGUUCAUAUCGACGGCGGUGUUUGGCACCUCGAUGUCGGCUCAUCACAUCCUGGGGCUGAAGUAGGUCCCAAGGGUAUGGCUGUUCGCCAUUUAAAGUGGUACGCGAGCUGGGUUUAGAACGUCGUGAGACAGUUCGGUCCCUAUCUGCCGUGGGCGCUGGAGAAUUGAGGGGGGCUGCUCCUAGUACGAGAGGACCGGAGUGGACGCAUCACUGGUGUUCGGGUUGUCAUGCCAAUGGCACUGCCCGGUAGCUAAAUGCGGAAGAGAUAAGUGCUGAAAGCAUCUAAGCACGAAACUUGCCCCGAGAUGAGUUCUCCCUGAGACU
rnacentral:rRNA from 1 species